rnacentral:rRNA from 1 species
UACGUAGGGUGCGAGCGUUAAUCGGAAUUACUGGGCGUAAAGCGUGCGCAGGCGGUUCGUUGUGUCGGUGGUGAAAUCCCCGGGCUUAACCUGGGAAUGGCCAUGGAAACUGGCGAACUGGAGUGUGGCAGAGGGGGGUGGAAUUCCGCGUGUAGCAGUGAAAUGCGUAGAGAUGCGGAGGAACACCGAUGGCGAAGGCAGCCCCCUGGGCUAGCACUGACGCUCAUGCACGAAAGCGUGGGGAGCAAACAGG